rnacentral:rRNA from 1 species
UACGAAGGGGGCUAGCGUUGUUCGGAAUCACUGGGCGUAAAGCGCACGUAGGCGGAUUGUUAAGUCGGGGGUGAAAUCCUGAGGCUCAACCUCAGAACUGCCUCCGAUACUGGCAAUCUCGAGUUCGGAAGAGGUUGGUGAAACAGCUAGUGUAGAGGUGAAAUUCGUAGAUAUUAGCUAGAACACCAGUGGCGAAGGCGGCCAACUGGUCCGACACUGACGCUGAGGCACGAAAGCGUGGGGAGCAAACAGG